GACGAACGCUGGCGGCGUGCUUAACACAUGCAAGUCGAACGGUAAGGCCCUUCGGGGUCCACGAGUGGCGAACGGGUGAGUAACACGUGGGUGAUCUGCCCUGCACUUCGGGAUAAGCCUGGGAAACUGGGUCUAAUACCGGAUAGGACCCUGGGAUGCAUGUCCUGGGGUGGAAAGCUUUUGCGGUGUGGGAUGGGCCCGCGGCCUAUCGGCUUGUUGGUGGGGUGAUGGCCUACCAAGGCGACGACGGGUAGCCGGCCUGAGGGGGUGACCGGCCACACUGGGACUGAGAUACGGCCCAGACUCCUACGGGAGGCAGCAGUGGGGAAUAUUGCACAAUGGGCGCAAGCCUGAUGCAGCGACGCCGCGUGAGGGAUGACGGCCUUCGGGUUGUAAACCUCUUUCAGCACCGACGAAGCGCAAGUGACGGUAGGUGCAGAAGAAGGACCGGCCAACUACGUGCCAGCCGCCGCCGUAA
rnacentral:rRNA from 1 species